rnacentral:rRNA from 1 species
GAUGAACGCUGGCGGCGUGCCUAAUACAUGCAAGUCGAGCGAACAGACGAGGAGCUUGCUCCUUUGACGUUAGCGGCGGACGGGUGAGUAACACGUAGGUAACCUACCUAUAAGACUGGGAUAACUUCGGGAAACCGGAGCUAAUACCGGAUAAUAUUUCGAACCGCAUGGUUCGAUAGUGAAAUAUGGCUUUGCUAUCACUUAUAGAUGGACCUGCGCCGUAUUAGCUAGUUGGUAAGGUAACGGCUUACCAAGGCAACGAUACGUAGCCGACCUGAGAGGGUGAUCGGCCACACUGGAACUGAGACACGGUCCAGACUCCUACGGGAGGCAGCAGUAGGGAAUCUUCCGCAAUGGGCGAAAGCCUGACGGAGCAACGCCGCGUGAGUGAUGAAGGUCUUCGGAUCGUAAAACUCUGUUAUUAGGGAAGAACAAACGUGUAAGUAACUGUGCACGUCUUGACGGUACCUAAUCAGAAAGCCACGGCUAACUACGUG